rnacentral:rRNA from 1 species
AUACGGAAGGUCCGGGCGUUAUCCGGAUUUAUUGGGUUUAAAGGGAGCGCAGGCGGAGAUGCAAGCGUGACGUCAAAUUUCGGGGCUCAACCCCGUCUCGCGUCGCGAACUGCGUCCCUUGGUUGCGGGAAGGGGAGGCGGAACUCGUGGUGUAGCGGUGAAAUGCAUAGAUAUCACGAAGAACUCCGAUCGCGAAGGCAGCCUUCCGGCCCGUCAACGACGCUCAUGCUCGAAGGUGCGGGUAUCAAACAGGAUUAGAUACCCUGGUAGUCCGCACAGUAAACGAUGGACACCCGCGGUUUGGCCUAUAUGGCUGAGCCGCCAAGCGAAAGCGUUAAGUGUCCCGCCUGGGGAGUACGCCGGCAACGGUGAAACUCAAAGGAAUUGACGGGG